rnacentral:piRNA from 1 species
UCCUGAAUGAUGGCCUAUUCCUAUUUACGAC